AUACGGAGGGUGCAAGCGUUACUCGGAAUCACUGGGCGUAAAGCGCGCGCAGGCGGCUAUUUAAGUUGGAUGUGAAAGCCUACGGCUCAACCGUAGAACUGCAUCCAAAACUAUUUAGCUAGAGUGUGGGAGAGGAAGAAGGAAUUAGUUGUGUAGGGGUAAAAUCCGUAGAGAUAACUAGGAAUACCAAAAGCGAAGGCAAUCUUCUGGAACACUACUGACGCUGAGGCGCGAAAGCGUGGGGAGCAAACAGGAUUAGAAACCCUUGUAGUCC
rnacentral:rRNA from 1 species